AAACGUAGGAGGCAAACGUUAUCCGGAUUUACUGGGCGUAAAGCGCGCGCAGGCGGCUUCGUAAGUCUGACGUGAAAGCUCCCGGCUUAACUGGGAGAGGCCGUUGGAUACUGCGGGGCUUGAGGUUGGGAGAGGAAAGUGGAAUUCCCGGUGUAGUGGUGGAAUGCGUAGAUAUUGGGAGGAACUCCAGUGGCGAAGGCGACUUUCUGGCCUACACCUGACGCUGAGGCGCGAAAGCGUGGGGAGCGAACAGGAUUAGAUACCCCAGUAGUCC
rnacentral:rRNA from 1 species